UACGUAGGGUGCGAGCGUUGUCCGGAAUUAUUGGGCGUAAAGAGCUCGUAGGCGGUCUGUCGCGUCGGAUGUGAAAACUCGGGGCUCAACCCCGAGCCUGCAUUCGAUACGGGCAGACUAGAGUUCGGUAGGGGAGACUGGAAUUCCUGGUGUAGCGGUGAAAUGCGCAGAUAUCAGGAGGAACACCGGUGGCGAAGGCGGCUCACUGGUCCGGUACUGACGCUGAGGUGCGAAAGCGUGGGGAGCAAACAGG
rnacentral:rRNA from 1 species